CAGCAGCCGCGGUAAGGCGAACCGUGCGAACGUUAUUCGGAAUCACUGGGCUUAGAGCGCGUGUAGGCGGAUGGGAGCGCCGGCCUCUGAAAUCCCCCGGCUCAACCGGGGAAGUGGAGCCGAAACGACCCGUCUGGAGGGACGUAGGGGGACCUGGAACUUCCGGCGGAGCGGUGAAAUGCGUUGAGAUCGGAAGGAACGCCCGUGGCGAAAGCGAGGUCCUGGACGUCUGCUGACGCUGAGACGCGAAAGCCAGGGGAGCGAACGGGAUUAGAUACCCCCGUAGUCCCUGUCUCUUAUA
rnacentral:rRNA from 1 species